rnacentral:rRNA from 1 species
GCUAGCAAUGCACGUCUUUGGUUCAGCCGGCUAGUCUUGUCGAGUUGCCGUUGUGUGGAUCCGAAUGGACUGCCUGCGGUAACGGCGGUGGGCGAGCUAUGGUGCACUCCAAGGGCGUGCGCGUCAGCGUCGGUUCUCGACGGACGACAAGGUACGUGGGAAAGGUAGCUCGGUCUUCGGACGGAGUGUUACAGACCCGUGUGCUGGGUUCGUUGUGGGACCGAGGAGAGAGAUGAUCGCUGCGGCACCUGCCUCUCGGGGCUAGCCAGCUGUCGUCAGGUGUGCGCCAGGUGCCGAGGACUGCACGCAGUGCUCGGUGUUGAGGUGUGAUCUGGUGGUGGUGUGGGUAUAGAGGGGCCUAGGACGCUGGCGUCCAAAUGGCCGUGCGCGACCCGUCUUGAAACACGGACCAAGGAGUCUAACAUGUGCGCGAGUCUUAGGGUGUGCAAGCCCUCGGGCGCAAUGAAAGUGAAGGUUCGGCGCUAGUCGAGCUGAGGUGAGAGCCGCUGCUGGCCUGUUGCCACGGUGGCGCAUCAUCGGCCGGUCCAUCCUGCUCUCAGGGGGAUCCGAGCAAGAGCGUAUUUGUUGGGACCCGAAAGAUGGUGAACUAUGCCUGAAUAGGGUGAAGCCAGAGGAAACUCUGGUGGAGGCUCGUAGCGAUUCUGACGUGCAAAUCGAUCGUCAAAUUUGGGUAUAGGGGCGAAAGACUAAUCGAACCAUCUAGUAGCUGGUUCCCUCCGAAGUUUCCCUCAGGAUAGCUGGAACUCGUAAACACAGUUUUAUCAGGUAAAGCGAAUGAUUAGAGGUCUUGGGGGUGAAACACCCUCAACCUAUUCUCAAACUUUAAAUCGGUAAGAAGCGCGACUUGCUUAAUUGAAGCCGCGCAACCAAUGUGAGUUCCAAGUGGGCCAUUUUUGGUAAGCAGAACUGGCGAUGCGGGAUGAACCGAACGCUCGG